rnacentral:piRNA from 1 species
UGAUACAACUCCUGACCAGUUUACUAAGU